AGGGCAAAGCCAUUGAUGCUGAGCUUUCCACGUUACAUACAGGAUUGGAAUAUGCUUGGAAUUCUGGAUGGUUCCCUCUUGAAGUAGAAACCGAGGCGAUAAAGGCUAUACAGUUUAUGGUGAAUGAAAAAUCGAGGUGGACCAUAAUCACCCUCAGUUUGGCUUGAUUAGGAGCUGCCAGGCUAUACUUGAUCAAAACUGGAGAUAUUCUCUGCAGCAUGUGUACAGAGAACAGAACUGUGUAGCUGAUUCUUUAGCCAGACAUGGACUUACUCAAGCCAGGCUGCCACCAUUUUACUGAUCCACCUCCUCAUUGUAUCCCUUUGCUAGCUUAGGAUCAGAGUGGGUUCGCUCGACACCGGUUUAUUACUCCAAGAGCCAAGCAAUACAGGUUUGUUUUAGCAUCCCUACUCCAUGCAUGUGAACCGAUUUUAGAUGAGGAUCAGUCUAUGGUUGCUCGAACCAGGUUGAUGUCUCUUCGUAAAUUGAAGAAUCAGAAAGUUGAGGAAGGGGAUGAUCUUGCACCUGUGACAUUCACGUGGAAAAUUGAAAACUUCUCUAAGUUGGAUACCGCCUCCAAGUAUUACUCUGAUAUUUUUGUCAUCGGCAAUUCUAAAUAAUCCUUCUGUAUCUGAAGGGGCAUGUUGUGGAUUACUUGUCACCAUAUUUGGAUGUCCCGGAUGCUUCAAAAUUGCCUCAGGGGUGGUCUAGAUGUGCACAAUUCAGCUUCAAAGUGGUUAAUCAACUUCAACCCAGCGAAUCAAAAACAAAGGAUACUGUACAUGUGUUCAAUGCUUGUGACAGUGACUGUGGCUUCAAAUCUUUAGUUCCUCUCAGUUGGCUUUCUGAUCAUGGUAAUGAGUGUCUUGUAAAUGAUAUAUGGAUCCUUGAAGCCAAGGUCGUACCUCAUAA